UACGUAGGGGGCAAGCGUUGUCCGGAAUCAUUGGGCGUAAAGAGCGCGUAGGCGGCCCGAUAAGUCCGCUGUGAAAGUCAAGGGCUCAACCCUUGAAUGCCGGUGGAUACUGUCGGGCUAGAGUCCGGAAGAGGCGAGUGGAAUUCCUGGUGUAGUGGUGAAAUGCGUAGAUAUCGGGAGGAACACCAGUGGCGAAGGCGACUUCCUGGCCUGUUCUUGACGCUGAGGCGCGAAAGCUAGGGUAGCAAACGGG
rnacentral:rRNA from 1 species